CUGGCUGGGGGGGAGGGGAUUUGGGGUCAAAAAUUUGGGGGGGAAAGGUUUUUAUGGGGUGAAAAAGGGGGAUUGGGCACUCCCACCUUCCCUUUAAGUGGAGGGAUGGGAAGGAUUGAGAAUUUGGGGUGAAAAAUAAAGGGAAAGGUUUUUAUGGGGUGAAAAUAGGGGAAUUGGGCACUCCCACCUUCCCUUUAAGUGGAGGGAUGGGAAGGAUUGAGAAUUUAGGGGGAUUUUGGGGUGAAAAAUAAAAGGAAAGUUUUUUAUGGGGUGAAAAUAGGGGAAUUGGGCACUCCCACCUUCCCUUUAAGUGGAGGGAUGGGAAGGAUUGAGACUUUAGGGGGA